GGGCUGCCUUGGGAGGCCCGAGAAAAGGGCCGGGAUAAUGACAGGCUCAGCUACCGCUGCUCUCUUCAGAGGAGCGAGGGGAGGGAGGCGGCAAAACCCCGGGGAUAAUAAAGAAGUAACAAAUGAGGAAUGAAAGCUUAUGGGAGACAUCUUAACCCAGGGAUGAAAAAACAUCAACAUCUGCGGGCUUUCUGCACCAGCGGGCCCAGGGCCUAAUGAAAACCCUCGAAAAGCCAUUCACGGGCGCAGAGGCGAAAAGGCUACAUUUUUCUGUGGGGCACGGAGGGUUGGCCUUUCCCUUCUCCUUUGGUCUGCUGCUGAACCGAGCGCUAACGUCUGCCGUCGGCGUCAUCAGGAGCGGGGCCACUGUCACCCCAGCUCUGCCAGGCGGGGGCUACCUGAAGUUCAACACUGUUGUCUGCUGUUGGGUCGCAAAGGGAACAGAGCUGUCCAUCUGUGGGCUGACCCUGUCGUCCUAAGAUGCCAGAGCAAGUGGUGAGCUCCCAGGCCCUUGAAGUAAGUAAGCAGUGGUCUGAGGAGCAUCUGUCAUCUGUCACCAUAAACUGGACAAGAUUUCCGGGCUGGAGGCAUGCUAAUGUCUUUUGUGAUCUUGUAUUUCUGCCUACUAAUUAUGCACUAGCCACUCUGAGUCUGAAAUAGAUUAUCUCAUUAAAUUUUCACAGCUCCGUGGUACAAACUCCCUUACUGUGCCCAAGCUGCAGAUAAGGAAAUGAGGUGGCGAAGUCUGCUGGAGUCUAAGUGACCUUCCGUCCCCUUCCGUUUGUGGUUUUUCUGGUUCCUCCCCAUGCUCUGGCA
rnacentral:lncRNA from 1 species